rnacentral:rRNA from 1 species
GGGCCCGCACAAGCGGUGGAGCAUGUGGUUUAAUUCGAUGAUACGCGAGGAACCUUACCAGGGCUUAAAUGGGAAAUGACAGGGGCAGAGACGCCCCCUUCUUCGGACAUCUUUCAAGGUGCUGCAUGGUUGUCGUCAGCUCGUGCCGUGAGGUGUCAGGUUAAGUCCUAUAACGAGCGCAACCCCUACCGUUAGUUGCCAGCGAUUCAAGUCGGGGACUCUAACGGGACUGCCGGUGCAAACCGUGAGGAAGGUGGGGACGACGUCAAAUCAUCACGGCCCUUACGUUCUGGCUACACACGUGCUACAAUGGUCGGUACAGAAACGCAGCCACUAUGCGAAUAGGAGCUAA